UACGGAGGGUGCAAACGUUGCUCGGAAUCAUUGGGCGUAAAGCGCACGUAGGCGGCCUGAUAAGUCGGGUGUGAAAGCCCUGGGCUCAACCCAGGAAGUGCACUCGAAACUGUCAGGCUUGAAUAUGGAAGAGGGUCGCGGAAUUCCCGGUGUAGAGGUGAAAUUCGUAGAUAUCGGGAGGAACACCAGUGGCGAAGGCGGCGACCUGGGCCAAUAUUGACGCUGAGGCACGAAGGCGUGGGGAGCAAACAGG
rnacentral:rRNA from 1 species